rnacentral:rRNA from 1 species
UACGUAGGGGGCGAGCGUUGUCCGGAGUUACUGGGCGUAAAGCGCUUGUAGGCGGUCCACCAAGUUUGGGGUGACAGUUGCCGACUUAAUCGGCAAAGUGCCUCAAAGACUGGCGGACUUGAGGGCCACAGAGGGACAUGGAACUCCAGGUGUAGUGGUGAAAUGCGUAGAUAUCUGGAAGAACACCAAAGGCGAAGGCAGUGUCCUGGGUGGUCGCUGACGCUGAGAGGCGAAAGCCAGGGGAGCGAACAGG